UGCCUCUUUGUGUCACUCCAGAACUUUCUGGUCACUGGUUUUCAUUCAUCUACCAGCAUUGGUUUCUGUGGUCAUGCUGAUUUGUUGGGAGUUAUUUACAUGGACGGGAAGAGGACCAGGCGAGAACCCCUGGAAAUCAUCCCCAUGCUCCCUGUGCUGUGUCUUAUGCGCAGGAGCACAAGCAGCGUGGGUUUAUCUCCUGGGGCAGCGAGACUCAGCCCUUCGUGUUUAACAGAUGUCUACCAGGCAAGAGUCUGCCGGGUAUGGAGCGCUUGGGAGCUCAUUUUACUUCCGGUCAAGCUUCUUCAGCUGAACUAGCCUUCCAGCAGAGGACCCGGGAUUCCUUGGAGACACGACUGGCCUGAUUUGGGGUCAGAGUGACAAGCCUACCACCGGUGUGUCCAACCAAGCCUCUGUACUGCCCUGUCUCCUCACACAGUGUGCGUCUCACCCAAGCCUCACAAAAGUGAAGAAGAGAACCAGCCUUGGAUGUAAUGCCGGCUGCCCCCAGGUUUCUGCCAAGCAGUACUCUGUGGGCCACCAUCGGUCCUGUCUGAGAAGGACACAAAGCCUUUGGCUUCAGAGGGUACCCUGGAGGCAGCUGCUGACACCAGCUGCUGUGGCAGCCUCUGAGGUCCAGGAGGUGGUCAUGAGACUGUGGCCUGCUGGCAAGAGUCCCUGGGUUCAGCCACAGACCCUCUCCUGUCAAGUCUCAGGGGACAGAGACUUAGAGAUGGGUUAGGAAGAGACCUACAUGCUGUCUCUGUGACUAUAGGAUGCAGCGGAUCUUUUGGGAAGGAAUUUGUAUAAAUAAUUUAAUGUUAAUUUUUUGUUUUAUAUAACAAAAAAAUUUUUUCGGUUUGUCCCUUUUCCCUGAAUUUGUGGGUACAUGCCAUAGAAUUCUAAAUGCAUGCCAGCUUGCAUUUCCCUUUCCCUUUUGGUGAUGUUUUUAUCAGAUUUAUUGUGAAAGUCUACACACUGUAAGUGAAAGAGACUUUCCUCUGUUUCUUUUUUUUUUCUUUUCUUCUUAUUCCCUUUUGUUGCUGUUAUUUCAUUUUGCUUGUGGUACUGAGGAGAGAGCCAGAAGCCUUGCCUAUGCUAGGCAAUUACUGUAGCCCUGAGCUACUUUCCCCAGCCCCAAGUUUUCUGAGGCAGUCUGUCCUUGAACCUGUGACCCUCCUGCCUCUACCAUCCAAGUAUCUAUCACCUGGGAUUACGGAUGUGGCUGGCUUUUUCUCUUUGAAAGAAAUCUAAGACACCGGGUCCUUCUUGCCCUGUGUCCCACAUUAAACAGGGGCCAGGUAAAAUGUGGAGAAAAGGUGGGAUGGGUGUGGACCCCAAGAAAGUGCUCUGCAGAAAUCCUGCAAGUUCUGAGUGCCGGGUGCACUCCAGACCAUGUUUUCAAUGGAAAGCCAUCAGAAAGAAGCAAAGUGAUUCUGUGGGUGGCCACAGUCAUCCUUUCCCAGCGAGAAGGAAAGCCGGGGGUCUCUAGCCCCCUUUGAGGGGAUGUGUUAGCUAAUGGAAGAACCCAAGCUACACAAAACUGCUGACAAGAUGCUGAGACCUAACUUCCCCUAUCAGCUGGGUGACAAGGGACCAAUCAGAUAAGUUUCCGAGCAGCCCCAGUGGUUAGUUAGCAAAUGGUCAGCAGAUGUCCCAAGGACGUGAUUAGGGGACAGUUGCUACCGGUGAACAACCCCUCCCGCAGGCAAUGACAAUCUAUCAGAGAAUAACAGCUAAGCUUUACUUAACCUUUAGCCAAUUAUAAUAUAGGAUAAGUAAUUUUGUAUUUUGAGACUGUAAUCGUGUGACUGCUAUGUGGUUUGUGUCUUUAUAAACCCCUUACAAUAGUAGGCAGGGUCCUUCUCCCUCCAUCUGCUGUGUCAGACUGUGAGGCAGGGGACCCGUGCUAGCCUGUACUCAAUAAACAAAACUUUGCUUUUGCAUUUGGAA